CCUACGGGAGACAGCAGUGGGGAAUAUUGGACAAUGGGCGCAAGCCUGACCCAGCAACGCCGCGUGAGGGAAGAAGGCCCUCGGGUUGUAAACUUCUUUUGUCAGGGACGAAGCAAGUGACGGUACCUGACGAAUAAGCCACGGCUAACUACGUGCCAGCAGCCGCGGUAAUACGUAGGUGGCAAGCGUUAUCCGGAUUUACUGGGUGUAAAGGGGGUGUAGGCGGGGAUGCAAGUCAGAGGUGAAAUUCCGGGGCUCAACCCCGGAACUGCAUUGGAAACUGUAUGUCUUGAGUGAUGGAGAGGCAGGCGGAAUUCCGGGUGUAGCGGUGAAAUGCGUAGAUAUACGGAGGAACACCAGUGGCGAAGGCGGCUUGCUGGACAGUAACUGACGCUGAGGCGCGAAAGCGUGGGGAGCAAACAGGAUUAGAUACCCGUGUAGUC
rnacentral:rRNA from 1 species